rnacentral:rRNA from 2 species
CGCUGAGCCUCGAAAGUAUGGGUAGCAAACAGGAUUAGAUACCCUGGUAGUCCAUACCCGUAAACGAUGAAUGCUAAGUGUUGGAGGGUUUCCGCCCCUUCAGUGCUGCAGGCUAACGCAUUAAGCAUUCCCGCCUGGGGAGUACGGCCGCAAGGCUGAAACUCAAAGGAAUUGACGGGGGCCCGCACAAAGCGGUGGAGCAUGUGGUUUAAUUCGAAGCUACGCGAAGAACCUUACCAGGUCUUGACAUACUAUGCAAAUCUAAGAGAUUAGACGUUCCCUUCGGGGACAUGGAUACAGGUGGUGCAUGGUUGUCGUCAGCUCGUGUCGUGAGAUGUUGGGUUAAGUCCCGCAACGAGCGCAACCCUUAUUAUCAGUUGCCAGCAUUAAGUUGGGCACUCUGGUGAGACUGCCGGUGACAAACCGGAGGAAGGGGGGGGAUGCCGUCAAAUCAUCAUGCCCCUUAUGACCUGGGCUACACACGUGCUACAAUGGAUGGUACAACGAGUUGCGAACUCGCGAGAGUAAGCUAAUCUCUUAAAGCCAUUCUCAGUUCGGAUUGUAGGCUGCAACUCGCCUACAUGAAGUCGGAAUCGCUAGUAAUCGCGGAUCAGCAUGCCGCGGUGAAUACGUUCCCGGGCCUUGUACACACCGCCCGUCACACCAUGAGAGUUUGUAACACCCAAAGUCGGUGGGGUAACCU